CCCCUACGCCUCCUACCCCAGCGCCAUCACUCCCUUUUGCUGUGAUCCAAAGUGGAGAGGGAGAACAAGAGAAGAGAGAAGAGAAGGGAAAUUAGGGUACGCCACCAUCCGUCAUCUCCGCUCCUCUCCAAAAAUUGGUUGCAAUUUAGGUGCAAUCGACGGGGCUGCCGUGACGUUUGUCGCUAGGAAGAGGAAAACGAGUGGGAAUCAUGGUCGGGAUCACCGCCGUUGCCGUUGCCCUUGCUGUUUUUAAGGGGAAACCCUAGGUGAGGCAUGUCCCUGCUGCAACACAUGUUUUCCCUAAGGUUUCAGAUGUUCUAGCACGUGUGUGUAGCGGUACUCGACGCCGUUAAUGGCUAGGGAGAAUUUUUGCCCUCGUCGCAGUUUUCACCACAUACAUUGUUCCACUUGAGGCUUCACUUUUGAUGAUAUGAAUUUGAAGUAUAUGAAGUUCGUGCAUUGCAAUCUUGCAUUUGCAUUCUCAUAUUGUUUAUGCAUAUGAAGAAACCGUAGGUGGAUUGCUACGGUAUGUACCGGUACAAUAACGCACGUUGACAUAUAGCAAUGUGGUUCCAGCCCUCACGUCCUUCCUUGGGGAUGUGUGGGUAGAAGUGAAGUCAUGCAUUGCAUUGCACCAUUUUCAUAUUCAUUAUGAAGUAUUGUUGUGAAGUAUUUAUUUAUCUUACUACUCGAAGUGAUGUGGUGCUUCUUUUAUAACAAUAAUUCUUAAAUUGUUGCUUAAUAUAUUAUGGUUUAAAUGACUUGGUUGACGCAGUUUGCUUGCUGAGGUUUUCCAUAAACCUCGUACGCUUUUUUCCCCUUCGCAGGUUCUUGAGUUUGGAGGGUGCCUAGUUGGAUGGGAGUAACAGCACGUGUGCACACAUCUCUUCAUAUAUAUAUUUUGGACACAUAUGUUGUAAUAAAAAUUUUUGGUUGUGAAACCUUUGCUUAGCUUAUAAUCUGUUUUUAUCCAGUUUGUUAGAUGUUUAUCUAGAUGAUUUAAGUUGCUUCCGUGUGCCCUGUUCUUUUAUCUUUGCUGCUGUUUUGAGGUGUUACAAGCAUGUUCCAACGAUAUAUAAGUUGGUGUACCAUAUGGAAGAAACCCAGAAGGCCGUAGAGUAAAUAACGACGUCAAAGUAAAUAGGAGCAAAUGGAACACAUCACAUGUACAUCAAUAUUACAUUAUUAUGGUUAACAAAUAUGAUAUGCAUGCAUACAACUUCGAUAUAGAAACCAUACACGUGAUAACACAAACACACACUUGAACAUUUUAUUUUGCAGCUAUAUAUAAGCUAUGACACCCGACAACAAUAACCCUGCCCUCAAGCAUACGGCAAUGAUGACAUAUGCAUGCAUGCAUGGGAGAUGAGGGAAGAACACAAUACAUCAUUAUUGCAACAUGAUGGUGGCCUGAGAACUCAGGCAUGGCAUUACGGUCAACUUAGCCGUCCGUCUUCUUCUCGGCGCCCUGGUCCUUAGGAGGGCACUGGCAGUCGUUCUUUAGGACACAAUCGACGAAACAGGUCUUAACAUCCCCCUCACCCUGCAGGAUGCACAUGCCAGCACAGGCACAGUUCUUAGAGCAGAUGCAGGUGUCGUCGCGUGGAACUUCUUUUGUCGUGUCCACGCACACCUCUUGUGCCGGCGUAGCAGAGGCUAUC